rnacentral:tRNA from 1 species
GGGACCGUAGGGUAGACUGGACCAUCCUUCGGCGUUCGGGACUUACGCCGGUACCUGAGUUCAAAUCUCAGCGGUCCCA